rnacentral:lncRNA from 1 species
GUGUGUGUAUUUCUUAGAGUAUUAAUAUGUCAGGAGCAGUGGGGCCUGGUCUCUGUUCCCUCCCGGUUUCACUGGGGGAACCCUAAGCACGAUCCUGCUGUGCAUAAUUCAUUCAGCUGAAAACUUCCCUAAAAAUAUAAGUCCUGAAAUAUGAGCCUGUGAGUGUGAUUAAUAAUCAUGUGCAGUUCACACCGGGCGUUUCUGGGACGAACUGAAUAAUGGGCUCGAGUGAAAUAGUAGGAAUUAGAGACAAGAAGAAGAAGACGACACGCACCCUGAACCAGCUAGUCUCGCAGACUCAGGCUACACAUGAUUUCUCACGAAAUCACACGAGCUCGCCGAGAAGUUAACUUACAUUUCCGUAACGAUCAGACUAAUUUUGGUGCACGUGUCUUAAAAACGAAGUGUGAGAAGAGCGUCUUGGACCAAGACAAAAAAAAAAAAGGCUGACGUGCAGGAGCCUGGCCUUGCUGCUCCACAGAAUGAAUGCGCAGGAUCGAGGAUCGAUCGGGUGGGCGGUGGGUGAGCACGCGCGCGCGCCUCCGCGCGCCCGUCCCGCGUUCACUUUCCGUUCAGCCGUUAUCUCCUCAAACGAAGUAUCCCUCGAACACCGUCAAAAAGUUCGUUUUCAAGCAGCAUCUCCUCGCUACCCCCCGGCUCGCGUUCAACGCCAGUCUCAAACUCGUGUUCAGUGGCGACUUCCAAGCAGCAGAAAGACAAUAUCAACCCCAAGACAGGUGAGUUCGGCAACACAGAAGUCUGGAAAGAUGGUAUUUCCUUCCCUCCUUCGCAUCACGAAGACCAGUAGACUGGGAAACAUCUGCCACUGGUGAGUCAGUUUUGGAUGAAAGGAGGGCAGAAGCUGUACUGCUGCUGCUAGUAACCGAGGAACUGCAACACACAUGGACAUCAACCACAUUUAAUUUACUGGGAAAACUAAAGAAUUUGUCCCAUGGAGUAAAAGCUGAAAUUCACAUUGUUGGUAAACUCAAAGUUUUCAUCAAAAUAUGAUACAUUUAUAGCCAUCUUUUAGCAACAUAACAUGUAUUCCCUU